GGGCGGGGCGCGCAGUCAUCUGACUCGGUGACUCACCCGCGCCCGCGCUUCCUCUGACCCGGGCCGGGCGGGAAGUCGGGUCCCGAGGCUCCGGCUCGGCAGACCGGGCGGAAAGCAGCCGAGCGGCCAUGGAGCUGUGCGGGCUGGGGCUGCCCCGGCCGCCCAUGCUGCUGGCGCUGCUGUUGGCGACACUGCUGGCGGCGAUGUUGGCGCUCCUGACUCAGGUGGCGCUGGUGGUGCAGGUGGCGGAGGCGGCUCGGGCCCCGAGCGUCUCGGCCAAGCCGGGGCCGGCGCUGUGGCCCCUGCCGCUCUCGGUGAAGAUGACCCCGAACCUGCUGCAUCUCGCCCCGGAGAACUUCUACAUCAGCCACAGCCCCAAUUCCACGGCGGGCCCCUCCUGCACCCUGCUGGAGGAAGCGUUUCGACGAUAUCAUGGCUAUAUUUUUGGUUUCUACAAGUGGCAUCAUGAACCUGCUGAAUUCCAGGCUAGAACCCAGCUUCAGCAACUUCUUGUCUCAAUCACCCUUCAGUCAGAGUGUGAUGCUUUCCCCAACAUAUCUUCAGAUGAGUCUUAUACUUUACUUGUGAAAGAACCAGUGGCUGUCCUUAAGGCCAACAGAGUUUGGGGAGCAUUACGAGGUUUAGAGACCUUUAGCCAGUUAGUUUAUCAAGAUUCUUAUGGAACUUUCACCAUCAAUGAAUCCACCAUUAUUGAUUCUCCAAGGUUUUCUCACAGAGGAAUUUUGAUUGAUACAUCCAGACAUUAUCUGCCAGUUAAGAUUAUUCUUAAAACUCUGGAUGCCAUGGCUUUUAAUAAGUUUAAUGUUCUUCACUGGCACAUAGUUGAUGACCAGUCUUUCCCAUAUCAGAGCAUCACUUUUCCUGAGUUAAGCAAUAAAGGAAGCUAUUCUUUGUCUCAUGUUUAUACACCAAAUGAUGUCCGUAUGGUGAUUGAAUAUGCCAGAUUACGAGGAAUUCGAGUCCUGCCAGAAUUUGAUACCCCUGGGCAUACACUAUCUUGGGGAAAAGGUCAGAAAGACCUCCUGACUCCGUGUUACAGUAGACAAAACAAGUUGGACUCUUUUGGACCUAUAAACCCUACUCUGAAUACAACAUACAGCUUCCUUACUACAUUUUUCAAAGAAAUUAGUGAGGUGUUUCCAGAUCGAUUCAUUCAUUUGGGAGGAGAUGAAGUGGAAUUUAAAUGUUGGGAAUCAAAUCCAAAAAUUCAAGAUUUCAUGAGGCAAAAAGGCUUUGGCACAGAUUUUAAAAAACUAGAAUCCUUCUACAUUCAAAAGGUUUUGGAUAUUAUUGCAACCAUAAACAAGGGAUCCAUUGUCUGGCAGGAGGUUUUUGAUGAUAAAGCGAAGCUUGCGCCGGGCACAAUAGUUGAAGUAUGGAAAGACAGCGCAUAUCCUGAGGAACUCAGUAGAGUCACAGCAUCUGGCUUCCCUGUAAUACUUUCUGCUCCUUGGUACUUAGAUUUGAUUAGCUAUGGACAAGAUUGGAGGAAAUACUAUAAAGUGGAACCUCUUGAUUUUGGUGGUACUCAGGAACAGAAACAACUUUUCAUUGGUGGAGAAGCUUGUCUAUGGGGAGAAUAUGUGGAUGCAACUAACCUCACUCCAAGAUUAUGGCCUCGGGCAAGUGCUGUUGGUGAGAGACUCUGGAGUUCCAAAGAUGUCAGAGAUAUGGAUGACGCCUAUGACAGACUGACAAGGCACCGCUGCAGGAUGGUCGAACGUGGAAUAGCUGCACAACCUCUUUAUGCUGGAUAUUGUAACCAUGAGAACAUGUAAAAAAUGGAGGAGAAAAAGGCCACAGCAAUCUGUACUACAAUCAACUUUAUUUUGAAAUCAUAGGCCUGGCAUCUUUCUUGUGAGACAAGCUUAAGGACACAAAAGAAACACAACUCUGUGAUACCACUCUUCUGAAGGCUACUUAUAGUAGUAAUAACUUCAUAGAUGAACAGCAUGAUUCAGGUACAGUGGCUUCAAAGCACAUUUCUCAUUAUAAUUUCUCAUUAUAUAAAUUAAAACGGGUGGCUCCAGUGCCAUUAUCAAAGCUUAAGUUAUAUCUUUUAUCUAGUUCUCUGAAUGUACUGAAACAGUACUUAUUCGUCCAAUAAAUAAAGCAAUAAAAAUUGUUCUUACUGAAAAUGAA